CAGCCGUAAACAAUGUGCGUUAGGUGUGUCGGUAACCACGUGUUACUGAUGCGCCGAAGAGAAAUCGUGAAACGCACCACCUGGGAAGUACGGUCGCAAGGCUGAAACUUAAAGGAAUUGGCGGGGGGAGCACCACAACAGGUGGAGCCUGCGGUUUAAUUGGACUCAACGCCGGGAAGCUCACCGGAUAGGACAGCAGAAUGAUUGCCGGGCUGAAGACCCUGCAUGACUAGCUGAGAGGAGGUGCAUGGCGUCAGUG
rnacentral:rRNA from 1 species